rnacentral:rRNA from 1 species
GAUGAACGCUGGCGGCGUGCCUAAUACAUGCAAGUCGAGCGAACAGACGAGGAGCUUGCUCCGCUGACGUUAGCGGCGGACGGGUGAGUAACACGUGGAUAACCUACCUAUAAGACUGAGAUAACUUCGGGAAACCGGAGCUAAUACCGGAGAAUAUAUUGAACCGCAGGGGUCAAUAGUGAAAGACGGUUUUGCGGGCACUAAUAGCGGGAUACGCGCCGCAUUGGCUAGUUGGUAAGGUAACGGCUUACGAAGGCAACGAUGCGUAUCCGACCGGAUAGGGUGGUCGGCCACACUGGAGCUGGGCCGCCCACCUGGCUCCUGCGGGAGGCCGCAGUAUGCAAUCGGCCGCAAUGGGCGAAAACCUUGCGGAGUGGCCCCGCGUCAAUGAUGACGGUCCUCCGUGCGUGAUGCUCUGUUACGAGUGAUGAACAACUUUGUAAGUAACCGUGCACGUCGUGACGGUACCGAGUCAGAAAGCCCCGGCUAACUACGUG